GGCGAGGUAGCUCAGUGGUUAGAGCGCGAAUUUACUGACUGGAGGUUCUUGGUUCGAACCCAAACUCUGCCU
rnacentral:tRNA from 1 species